rnacentral:rRNA from 1 species
GACGGAGGAUGCAAGCGUUAUCCGGAAUGAUUGGGCGUAAAGCGUCCGCAGGUGGCAGUUCAAGUCUGCUGUCAAAGACCGGGGCUUAACUUCGGAAAGGCAGUGGAAACUGAACAGCUAGAGUAUGGUAGGGGCAGAGGGAAUUCCUGGUGUAGCGGUGAAAUGCGUAGAGAUCAGGAGGAACACCGAUGGCGAAGGCAGCUCGCUGGGACGGUACUGACGCUGAGACGCGAAAGCGUGGGGAGCAAACAGG